rnacentral:rRNA from 1 species
GACGAACGCUAGCGGCGUGCCUAAGGUAUGCAAGUCGGACGCUCGUUCCCUUCGGGGGGCGGGUAGUGGCGAACGGUCGCGUAACACGUAGACUACCUGCCUCCCAGUGGGGGAGUACCUCCGGGAAACCGGGGCUAAUACCGCAUACGGUGGCGAAGAGCCUUCUUCGCUGACCAAAGGCGCAAGUCGCUGGGAGAUGGGUCUGCGGCCUAUCGGCUUGUUGGUGGGGUAACGGCCUACCAAGGCGACGACGGGUAGCNGGUCUGAGAGGAUGAUCAGCCGGACGGGGACUGAGACACGGCCCCGACUCCUUCGGGAGGCAGCAAUGAGGAAUAUUGCGCAAUGGGCGAAAGCCUGACGCAGCGACGCCGCGUGGGUGAGGAAGUCCUUGG